rnacentral:rRNA from 1 species
AGAGUUUGAUCCUGGCUCAGAAUGAACGCUGGCGGCGUGCAUAACACAUGCAAGUCGUACGAGAACGCUUCUGCUUGCAGGAGCAAGUAAAGUGGCGAACGGGUGAGUAAUGCGUAGGUAAUCUACCUUUAAAUUGGGGAUAACAUUGCGAAAGCGAUGCUAAUACCGAAUGUGGUUUUAUUUACGGAAGUAGAUAAGACUAAAGUUGGCCUCUAUAAAUAAGCUAAUGUUUAGAGAUGAGCCUGCGUACCAUUAGCUAGUUGGUAGGGUAAGAGCUUACCAAGGCGACGAUGGUUAGCUGGUCUGAGAGGAUGAUCAGCCACACUGGAACUGACACACGGUCCAGACUCCUACGGGAGGCAGCAGUGAGGGAUUUUGCGCAAUGGGGGGAACCCUGACGCAGCAACGCCGCGUGAGUGAAGAAGGCCUUCGGGUCGUAAAGCUCUGUCGAAUAGAAAGAAGGUGCUACAUAAUAAAAUGUGUAGUAUUGACGGUACUAUUAGAGGAAGCACCGGCUAACUCCGUGCCAGCAGCCGCGGUAAUACGGAGGGUGCGAGCGUUAUUCGGAAUUACUGGGCGUAAAGGGCGCGUAGGCGGUUAUUUAAGUCAGAUGUGAAAGCCCUGGGCUUAACCUGGGAACAGCAUUUGAAACUGGGUAGCUUGAGUAUAGGAGAGGGAAGUGGAAUUCCUGGUGUAGAGGUGAAAUUCGUAGAUAUCAGGAGGAACACCGGUGGCGAAGGCGACUUCCUGGCCUAAUACUGACGCUGAGGCGCGAAGGUGUGGGGAGCAAACAGGAUUACAUACCCUGGUAGUCCACACAGUAAACGGUGAUUACUAGGUGUAGUAGGUAUUGAACCCUACUGUGCCGUAGCAAACGCGUUAAGUAAUCCGCCUGGGGAGUACGGCCGCAAGGUUAAAACUCAAAGGAAUUGACGGGGGCCCGCACAAGCGGUGGAGCAUGUGGUUUAAUUCGACGCAACGCGAAGAACCUUACCUGGGCUUGACAUCUCAGGAAUUUUCUUGAAAGAGAAGAGUGCCCUUCGGGGAACCUGAAGACAGGUGCUGCAUGGCUGUCGUCAGCUCGUGUCGUGAGAUGUUGGGUUAAGUCCCGCAACGAGCGCAACCCUUAUCUUUAGUUACCAUCAUUAAGUUGGGGACUCUAGAGAUACUGCUCCGGUUAACGGGGAGGAAGGUGGGGAUGACGUCAAGUCCUCAUGGCCCUUACGUCCAGGGCUACACACGUGCUACAAUGGGUUGUACAAAGGGGAGCAAAUCUGUGAAGGUGAGCGAAUCCCAGAAAGCAGCUCUCAGUUCGGAUUGAAGUCUGCAACUCGACUUCAUGAAGUUGGAAUCGCUAGUAAUCGUGGAUCAGCAUGCCACGGUGAAUACGUUCCCGGGCCUUGUACACACCGCCCGUCACACCAUGAGAGUUGGUUAUACCAGAAGUUGAUAUACUAACCAGUGAUGGAAGUGAGCACCUAAGGUAUGGCUGAUGAUUGGGGUGAAGUCGUAACAAGGUA